UUACCGCGGCUGCUGGCACGGAGUUAGCCGGUGCUUAUUCUGUUGGUAACGUCAAUCUACUUGGGUAUUCGCCAAAUAGCCUUCCUCCCAACUUAAAGUGCUUUACAACCCGAAGGCCUUCUUCACACACGCGGCAUGGCUGGAUCAGGGUUGCCCCCAUUGUCCAAUAUUCCCCACUGCUGCCUCCCGUAGGAGUCUGGACCGUGUCUCAGUUCCAGUGUGACUGAUCAUCCUCUCAGACCAGUUACGGAUCGUCGCCUAGGUGGGCCUUUACCCCACCUACUAGCUAAUCCGACGCGGGCUCAUCUGAUAACGUGAGGUCCGAAGAUCCCCCACUUUCCCCCUUAGGGCGUAUGCGGUAUUAGCAUCCCUUUCGAGAUGUUGUCCCCCAUUACCAGGCAGAUUCCCACGCGUUACUCACCCGUCCGCCGCUCUACUCAGGCCGAAACCCUUUCGCGCUCGACUUGCAUGUGUUAAGCCUGCCGCCAGCGUUCAAUCUGAGCCAUGAUCAAACUC
rnacentral:rRNA from 1 species